CUGUGUUGCACUCAAAAUUAUCCGUCAGUUUGCUUAGUAACCCUAUUAGUGUACGGAUCCAAGUGGCCCCUAACUAUUCAUCUCCUAGGAGAUGCUACAUCCUUCUGUAAAUAGACCCAAACUGAGCAAGCUAUACUUAGUAUGUCUAGUCAUGUGCUGGCUCCAAAAGUGUACUCCUGGAACAGAUCAAUAAUGGACUUGUUUUCUUUCAUUCCCUUAGGUUUGAAGUGUGUUAGGUGUCUAAUCAGUAGAGAAUUCAAUCAUGUGACUCAUGAAGGCUCAGGAUCAAGAUGUAGACUCUCAGCUAACUCUCCAGAACCAUCACUGCCUGCAUGCCACCCUGCUUCCCACCAUGAUAAUGAACUAAACUUCUGAAUGUAAGCAA
rnacentral:lncRNA from 1 species